AGUGUACUCCCUCCGUUCGAAAUUACUUGUCGUAGAAAUGGAUGUAUCUAGACGUAUUUUAGUUCUAGAUACAUCCAUUUUCGAGACAAGUAAUUCCGAACGGAGGGAGUACAUC
rnacentral:pre_miRNA from 1 species